UGCCGAAAGUGCCAUCUCUUUUUUCAAGAACAAACUGCUCCGCGAAAAGGGUCAAUAAGUACACAUAUCUGAA
rnacentral:lncRNA from 1 species